rnacentral:piRNA from 1 species
UAGGUUUCUUGAAAAGGCUAUUUAUUAAAG